CAAAACUUAGGUUGCCGAGGAGUACAACAAAAGAUGAGAUCCCUACAGCUCUCCAUCUACAAGGGAACACUGUGAGUUGAAGAAGGGGCGUCGCCAUCCUCAAUGUCCAUGCUGGACGCUCCCAUGACCUCCUCAGGGUCUUCUUGCUUGUCCAAUUGCAUCUGAAGGGCAUGCAUGUCGUCGAGCUCGGCGUGGUGCUCGUCCAGAUGAGCAUUAGCAACUGCUAGCUCCAUCUCUACCUCCAUCUUUUCUUCGAAAAGCUCAAUCAUGCCAUACACCAGAUCUGUCACUUCUCCCUCGAGUUCGGAGAUUCGGUCUUGCAUGUCGUGGAUUUGUAUUCCUCUCUGGAUGAGUUGAUAGGUUUGUCCCACCAGGUCUCUC
rnacentral:lncRNA from 1 species